UCCGUAGGCGGGCGCCUAAGUCAGUGGUGAAAUCUUACAGCUCAACUGUAAAAUUGCCAUUGAUACUGGAUGUCUUGAAUUAGUGUGAAGUGGUUAGAAUGUGUAGUGUAGCGGUGAAAUGCAUAGAUAUUACACAGAAUACCAAUUGCGAAGGCAGAUCACUAACACUAUAUUGACGCUGAGGGACGAAAGCGUGGGGAGCGAACAGGAUUAGAUACCCUGGUAGUCC
rnacentral:rRNA from 1 species